UACAGCCUCAACAUGGGAGUUAUGGAUUGGUUUGAUCCAAUUGCUGAUUCGACUACUAGCCAUCUCGAUCUGAUUCCCCACAUGGUUUAGGGGAGAAGUUUAAAACAACAGGACUAUGGAAGGAUAUACGGUGCUACAUUGACAGUCAACUCUACGGUUUGUAGGUUGAAGUUUGCUUAACACGCUUCAACCGUCGAAC